rnacentral:rRNA from 1 species
CCUACGGGAGGCAGCAGUGGGGAAUUUUGGACAAUGGGCGAAAGCCUGAUCCAGCAAUGCCGCGUGAGUGAAGAAGGCCUUCGGGUUGUAAAGCUCUUUUGUCAGGGAAGAAACGGUGUGGGCUAAUAUCCUGCACUAAUGACGGUACCUGAAGAAUAAGCACCGGCUAACUACGUGCCAGCAGCCGCGGUAAUACGUAGGGUGCAAGCGUUAAUCGGAAUUACUGGGCGUAAAGCGUGCGCAGGCGGUUUUGUAAGUCUGUCGUGAAAUCCCCGGGCUCAACCUGGGAAUUGCGAUGGAGACUGCAAGGCUAGAAUCUGGCAGAGGGGGGUAGAAUUCCACGUGUAGCAGUGAAAUGCGUAGAGAUGUGGAGGAACACCGAUGGCGAAGGCAGCCCCCUGGGUCAAGAUUGACGCUCAUGCACGAAAGCGUGGGGAGCAAACAGGAUUAGAUACCCUGGUAGUCCACGCCCUAAACGAUGUCUACUAGUUGUCGGGUUUUAAUUAACUUGGUAACGCAGCUAACGCGUGAAGUAGACCGCCUGGGGAGUACGGUCGCAAGAUUAAAACUUAAAGGAAUUGACGG